UUGAAAGGGAAACGAUUGAAGUCAGUCGUGCUGGCGCGAAAUCAACCUUCUCGUCUUGAGAUCACAUGGCGUGGCGAGCCUCAAAACCGUCACGAAGCGUGAACUCUUGGUGAAAUGGAGCACUUUCGUGCCCGCUGGUUAACAUCAAUUUCGAACGUCAUAAAAAGGCUGGAGGGAUGUGGCUCCUUCGGGAGUGUUAUAACCUUUAGCGGAAUGUGGUGUUCGGGAUUGAGGAUUGCAACGAAUACCUUUAGGGCUGUUCCACCUGGCUUCUCUUUGGUAUCCUGGUGACGACAGCUUGCUGACGUCGUUAGGAUUCGCCUUUGAACAGGCUAGAGUGUGAGCAAAUUCGUUAAGGAUGUUGACGUA
rnacentral:rRNA from 1 species